rnacentral:rRNA from 1 species
AUGCACGCUGGCGGCGUGCCUCAUCCAUGCAAGUCGCGCGAACAGAUAAGGAGCUUGCUCCUUUGACGUUAGCGGCGGACGGGUGAGUAACACGUGGGUAACCUACCUAUAAGACUGGAAUAACUCCAGGAAACCGGGGCUAAUGCCGGAUAACAUUUAGAACCGCAUGGUUCUAAAGUGAAAGAUGGUUUUGCUAUCACUUAUAGAUGGACCCGCGCCGUAUUAGCUAGUUGGUAAGGUAACGGCUUACCAAGGCAACGAUACGUAGCCGACCUGAGAGGGUGAUCGGCCACACUGGAACUGAGACACGGUCCAGACUCCUACGGGAGGCAGCAGUAGGGAAUCUUCCGCAAUGGGCGAAAGCCUGACGGAGCAACGCCGCGUGAGUGAUGAAGGUCUUCGGAUCGUAAAACUCUGUUAUUAGGGAAGAACAAAUGUGUAAGUAACUGUGCACGUCUUGACGGUACCUAAUCAGAAAGCCACGGCUAACUACGUG